rnacentral:rRNA from 1 species
CCCUUAGAUGUCCUGGGCUGCACGCGCGCUACACUGGAAGUUACGGAUUGAGAUACUACCUUGUCCGAAAUGGUCCGGGUAAUCACCUAAAAGCUUGUCAUAAUUAGAAUGGAUUAUUGUAACUAGUAAUCCUGAACGAGGAAUUCCUAGUAAGUCCCAGUCAACAGCUGGUACUGAUUACGUCCCUGCCCUUUGUACACACCGCCCGUCGCUACUACUGAUUGGACGUUUAAGCAAGAUUUUUAAACACUGACAGUGUGUAGUUCACGCUAUACUACAGUGAGAAGAAGAAGAUCGAGCUUACUUGUCUAGAGGAAGUAAAAGUCGUAACA